rnacentral:rRNA from 1 species
UUGAACGCUGGCGGAAUGCUUUACACAUGCAAGUCGAACGGCAGCACGGGGGCAACCCUGGUGGCGAGUGGCGAACGGGUGAGUAAUACAUCGGAACGUGCCCAUGUCGUGGGGGAUAACGUAGCGAAAGCUACGCUAAUACCGCAUACGAUCUACGGAUGAAAGCGGGGGAUCGCAAGACCUCGCGCGAUUGGAGCGGCCGAUGGCAGAUUAGGUAGUUGGUGGGGGUAAAGGCCUACCAAGCCGACGAUCUGUAGCUGGUCUGAGAGGACGACCAGCCACACUGGGACUGAGACACGGCCCAGACUCCUACGGGAGGCAGCAGUGGGGAAUUUUGGACAAUGGGCGCAAGCCUGAUCCAGCCAUUCCGCGUGCAGGAUGAAGGCCCUCGGGUUGUAAACUGCUUUUGGACGGAACGAAAAGGUGCCGGCUAAUACCUGGCGCUCAUGACGGUACCGUCAGAAUAAGCACCGGCUAACUACGUGCCAGUAGCCGCGGUAAUACGUAGGGUGCAAGCGUUAAUCGGAAUUACUGGGCGUAAAGCGUGCGCAGGCGGUGAUGUAAGACAGAUGUGAAAUCCCCGGGCUCAACCUGGGAACUGCAUUUGUGACUGCAUCGCUGGAGUGCGGCAGAGGGGGAUGGAAUUCCGCGUGUAGCAGUGAAAUGCGUAGAUAUGCGGAGGAACACCGAUGGCGAAGGCAAUCCCCUGGGCCUGCACUGACGCUCAUGCACGAAAGCGUGGGGAGCAAACAGGAUUAGAUACCCUGGUAGUCCACGCCCUAAACGAUGUCAACUGGUUGUUGGUCCUUCACUGGAUCAGUAACGAAGCUAACGCGUGAAGUUGACCGCCUGGGGAGUACGGCCGCAAGGUUAAAACUCAAAGGAAUUGACGGGGACCCGCACAAGCGGUGGAUGAUGUGGUUUAAUUCGAUGCAACGCGAAAAACCUUACCCACCUUUGACAUGUACGGAAUUCGCCAGAGAUGGCUUAGUGCUCGAAAGAGAACCGUAACACAGGUGCUGCAUGGCUGUCGUCAGCUCGUGUCGUGAGAUGUUGGGUUAAGUCCCGCAACGAGCGCAACCCUUGUCAUUAGUUGCUACAUUUAGUUGGGCACUCUAAUGAGACUGCCGGUGACAAACCGGAGGAAGGUGGGGAUGACGUCAAGUCCUCAUGGCCCUUAUAGGUGGGGCUACACACGUCAUACAAUGGCUGGUACAAAGGGUUGCCAACCCGCGAGGGGGAGCUAAUCCCAUAAAACCAGUCGUAGUCCGGAUCGCAGUCUGCAACUCGACUGCGUGAAGUCGGAAUCGCUAGUAAUCGUGGAUCAGAAUGUCACGGUGAAUACGUUCCCGGGUCUUGUACACACCGCCCGUCACACCAUGGGAGCGGGUUCUGCCAGAAGUAGUUAGCUUAACCGCAAGGAGGGCGAUUACCACGGCAGGGUUCGUGACUGGGGUG